GCCCCAGUAGCUCAGGGGAUAGAGCACCGCUCUCCUAAAGCGGGUGUCGGCAGUUCGAAUCUGCCCUGGGGCACAAC
rnacentral:tRNA from 1 species